AGAGUUUGAUCCUGGCUCAGGAUGAACGCUAGCGAUAGGCUUAACACAUGCAAGUCGAGGGGCAGCAUGGUCUUAGCUUGCUAAGACUGAUGGCGACCGGCGCACGGGUGCGUAACGCGUAUGCAACUUGCCUCACAGAGGGGGAUAACCCGUCGAAAGACGGACUAAUACCGCGUACACUCCAUCUUGGGCAUCCAAGGUAGAGGAAAUGAAAUUCGCUGUGAGAUAGGCAUGCGUCCCAUUAGCUAGUUGGUGAGGUAACGGCUCACCAAGGCGACGAUGGGUAGGGGAACUGAGAGGUUGAACCCCCACACUGGUACUGAGACACGGACCAGACUCCUACGGGAGGCAGCAGUGAGGAAUAUUGGUCAAUGGGCGAGAGCCUGAACCAGCCAAGUCGCGUGAAGGAUGACUGUCUUAUGGAUUGUAAACUUCUUUUAUACGGGAAUAACAAGAGUCACGUGUGACUCCCUGCAUGUACCGUAUGAAUAAGCAUCGGCUAACUCCGUGCCAGCAGCCGCGGUAAUACGGAGGAUGCGAGCGUUAUCCGGAUUUAUUGGGUUUAAAGGGUGCGUAGGCGGCCUGUUAAGUCAGCGGUGAAAUCUAGGAGCUUAACUCCUAAAUUGCCAUUGAUACUGGCGGGCUUGAGUGUAGAUGAGGUAGGCGGAAUGCGUGGUGUAGCGGUGGAAUGCAUAGAUAUCACGCAGAACUCCGAUUGCGAAGGCAGCUUACUAAGGUACAACUGACGCUGAAGCACGAAAGCGUGGGUAUCAAACAGGAUUAGAUACCCUGGUAGUCCACGCAGUAAACGAUGAUAACUGGGCGUAUGCGAUAUACAGUAUGCUCCUAAGCGAAAGCGUUAAGUUAUCCACCUGGGGAGUACGCCGGCAACGGUGAAACUCAAAGGAAUUGACGGGGGCCC
rnacentral:rRNA from 1 species